GCCCAAUGAUGAGACCAAGGCGAAUGCGAGCCAACUGAAGGAGUAGUUUGGGAUCUGCCUUGUUUCGAUUGGCUGGUAAUCUUGGCAAUGUAGUGGAGAUUGGCUACUUUGCUGUAAGGGCUGGCCUACAGUGACCCGGCCCCAACCACAUGUUUCUCCUGUUAAAGGAAAACAGGAGAGUUGUGGGAGGGUGCUGACAGUGUGACUGAUGUUUGUUUGUGUGUCUGUAUAUGUGAGACAAGGAGAAACCGGCUCUCUUCAAUGUUCAGUUGGCUGUGAGCACUCUUCUUUGGUAAUCUGAGGGAA
ensembl:snoRNA small nucleolar RNA U85